ACUCAAGUAUGACAAUUGGGUACUUUUUUCACCACUGCGAAUUCACACACUUAUCAAGAGACUUUUACUUGAGUAAGUUUCUAUUACUGUAUCUUUACUUUUACUCAAGUAUGACAAUUGGGUACUUUUUUCACCACUGCGAAUCAUAUGGAAUUAGCAGCUACGCUAGACAUAUCAACGACCCCCCCCCCCCCUCUCGGUUUGGCAUGGAGUAUUCAGAAGGACACCGAAUUCUCAACGAGCAACAAUGUGUCUGUCGGCGUAAUUAAAAAGUUGAGUAAAGAGGGGCACAACAAAGCUGCCCACCAGUGAAUGGAUACUGUACAUAUGGUACAUAAAAGAGACUAUGGGAGUGAACACCCUUGCAGCAAUCAAUGAUCUGCAAAAUAGCUGUCCUGUCGCAGAUUUACACCAACUACUGCCUCGAACCACCAUGAUCCAGAAACGGUCGGAUGCUUGACUAGUGGCACGAUAAAUACUGUCUUUCAGAGGACACAGAUUGGAAACCUCUCUUCGACGUUCCUGGAGACCAAAUCUGUAAGCGGUGGAACACUAUUCUCUCUGACAACACAAGCAGCAGCUCCCCCAGCAAAUGCCGGAAUCCAUUUCCAGCAGCAUAGAGCCCAAUAAACGACACCAUGAGCAAACCAACAACAAACAAUAACGUGGGACAAUUUUAAGAAAUGGCAACAUUCAACAUUAAUAAAUAGGUGGCAUGUGUUAGUCACUCUAGAAGUGGCGCUAAUGCUUGCUUGCUAGCUAGCCUGUGGUUAUGUUGCAUUGCAUAACUAGUCAAGCAACAAGACUUUUACCGGACUACUUUUUCUGGUGGAAUGUAUUUAUUAUCAAUGUAUUGAUUAAAGUUACAUGUUCAAUUUA